ACCGCGCGCCGUGCGCCGCACCUGCCCCCCGCCCGCCCCGGUGCACCUGGCGCCUGGGCGGACCCGCGACCUUCCCCCGGGGCGGGCGGUGCUUUCCGCCGAGAAGCGAUCGGAAGACUCGGGCAGGUGGGAGCGCCAGGUCGGGCACCAGGUCGGGGCGGCUGGCGGAUGCAGAGCGGCGUCCCAGGAGGCGGGUCCGGGGUGGACGCAGAGCAGGGACGCGGCCCGGGCCUGCUGACCUCAGAGUCCCGCGGGGGAUACGCUCCAGCCCGGCCCCCCAGGCUCUCCUCCUCCGUGGGUGCAAAUAUGGCCCCGGGGCCGGGCGCAUGGAGUUUUUCUGGAGUGAGCGUCUGCGAGGACCCGUCCUCCGACUGUUAGUGAUUAGGACGGAGGGGCGCUUGCUAGCGUCGUUUUUGUUUUGUUUCGUUCACUCUGGCAAGAAGACGAUUAUGCUGUUUUAUAUUUGAGAAGUGGACAGCCAACGCCACUUAAAACUUUGGAGUGAAAAUUUGACUUUGGCAGUUGCAAUGACGACUAACGAAAUCUUUCCAUCUUCCUUCUUUCAUGGAGUGAACCUCGAAAUGCUUCUAAACCACUCGGCCUGUGGGACUCGGUACUUAUUUGAGACAAUGGUGAUGCUCUAGUGUGAACACCAGGGAGCGCUGUUUGCCGCGGCCGCGCCGAGUCCUCGGGGUCCCUGCAGAAGCUGGGGGCGGCGCUCUGAGACUCAGACGGGCGCGGGGUGGGCUGAGGGCGUCUCAGCCGGGGAGGACCGGCCUUGCGCAACUCCUUCCUUGCUCCGUGUUUCCUGCCCCGCAAAUCGGAUCUCUGCCCGCCGUUACUGCCCACCCCCUCCCAAGCUUUUUACAAUACCUCUCCCACCCCCUUUCCUUCCAAGUCCUUACCCUGCUUUAUUUUCUCACCACUCUGUAAUCGAGUUACGCUGCUCAUUAUCCGUUCAGUCUCCCUCUCUGGAAAGUAAGCUGCAUGAGGAAGGGACUGUUUCUGUUUUGCUCCUCACUCGGCCUGGUGAAGAGUCUCCAGCACAUAAUAGUUGCUCAAGAAAGCUUUGAGUCAGGACACAGUGGAUGAAUUCACCAUCCUGAACCCACAUCUACUUAAGAACAAAAGUGAUUCAUAUAGAAGCUGUUGUCCUCAAAAUGGUCCACCAGCGGCUGAAGAUGCCCCCCUCAGGGUGGAUAGAGCAGGUGGAGCUGUUAUGUCCUAACACUUCUGGCCAUUUCAAUAUCCACCUGAUCCCCUAGAUUUCCUGCUAAAGGCCUGGUGUCAGCUGAGUGAAAGGAAAGAGCAUGAGAAGAACUAGAUUUGAAAUCCAGAUUGGCCACUUGUUAAGUUUGCCCGGGCUGCUGUAACAAGUACCACAGGCUGGGCGGCUUAAAUGGCAGACGUUCUUCUCGCGAUUCUGGAGGCUGGACGUGUGAGAUCAAGGUCGGCCCGGCUCUGUGGGGCAUCCUGGUGCUGCUGGCAGAAGCCCUGUGCCCGCUGCCCUGUCACUGCCACAGCAUUCCUUGUGGGCCAAAGUCUGGACACAGGGCUGUGCGUCUUCCUGCCUCGUUUCUGUAACAGAUCGGCUUGGUCUAUGCUUGCCUCCUGACUGAUCUUCAAGCCGGGACCUGGUCGUAGAGGACGUGUGCCCCCGGAAGGACUUUGAAGGGGCUUCAGGACGAAGAAAGAAGGGUUGGAGGGCAGCACUGCUGCCAGGCUCCGUCUUCCUCUGUGGAGAAGCCCCUUUUCUCUCCGAAUGGAUGGUUUCACCUGGGCGCUCCUGGACAUAGGACGCCUCUUCUGCUUUCCUGUAAGCCUGGGGUCCUUAGUGUCUGGCUGUUCCCUGCGGUCCUAGUCGGGUCUUAGAACCAGGUUACAGGGAGGGUAUCCCUUGGGCCAGGCCCCAGCUCUCAAAGCACCAGGCAUCUAGACCCAGGAACUCUCUCUGACCCCACCGCACACCCACUGACUCAGCAACUCUGGGUGGGCCCAGGUCUGGGAUUUUCUCAAGCCCCCCAGCUGAGUCUGAGUAGCUCAAGCCUGACACCCCUGCUAACACCUGGGCUGAUCUCACCAGCGGCCCCCGGCCUCGGUCUCUCAUCAGCAGACAGGCCACUCCUCCUCUGUUCACGGGCAGGGCAGCGUUUGCUCAGCAGGUCAACAUCCCCUCUGACAUUGCCCCAGGCCUGGCGAUCAUCUGCUUCAGACAUUCCUUCAGUCCUUCCCUGAAAUCUAAUAUUUGGGUUUAGCAGCUCAACUUCCUCUUGCGAAACAAUGUGAACUUCCCCAACCAGACAGAACAGGAACUGAAAUUAGUUGCUUUCGAUUCUUCAGUAACUGAUCAGCCUUUUGAACUUUUUUAAACUUUGUACGUGAAAGUCUUCCAAAUUGUGCUCAUCCGUCCAUUGUCACCUCUUCAAGCUCACCGUUUGUCGGCAUCUCGGAGGAGAGGCGCAGAGAGGGUUUUUCAUCCUCUGGGAAAGCAUCGCUUUUCCUGGUCUCGUGUGGAUACGCCCACUUGGGGAUAUUUCACUUCCCACCGUGGACGUGACUCAUUUUCUCAUCCCGGCUGGACGCUCAGCUCCAUCUUCGGGGAUACCGUGCACGCUGCUUCCCUCCCGCUCCGUCCUCUCCACGGUCACGGAGCUCCCUAGCGCUGAGUCGUGCUGCCUCCUUCAAGGAGCCUGCUGCCCCGUGCUCCUCACCAGUGACCCAUCUAACCGCCACUCAGUCUUCCAACGCAUCUUUGGCCUUUGACCCUGUUUCCCGCUUCCUUCUUUGUGAAAAUCCGUCCCGUGGCCUUCCCACCUUCCUGCCUACACGGCCUCCCCAGGACCUACCCUUGAUCAUGGGGGUUUGCUUUUUUUUAAAAAUUUUGAUUGGAGUAUAGUUGCUUUACAAUGUUGUGUUAGUUUCUGCCGUACAGCAAAGUGAAUCAGUUAUACAGGUACAUAUAUCCACUCUUUUUUAGGUUUCCUUCCCAUUUAGGUCACCACAGAGCAUUGAGUAGAGUUCCCUGUGCUGUACAUUCGGUUCUCAUUAGUUAUAUUUUAUACAUAGUGUCAAUAGUGUAUAUAUGUCACUCCCAAUCUCGCAAUCAUCCCACACCCCCCUUUCCCCACUUGGUGUCCAUAAGUUUGUUCUUUACAUCUGUGUCUCUAUUUCUGCUUUGCAAAUAAGUUCAUCUGUACCAUUUUUCUAGAUGUCACAUAUAAGUGAUACUAUACGAUAUUUGUUUUUCUCUAUCUGACUUACUUCACUCUGUACGACAGUCUAGGUCUAUCUACAUCUCUGCAAAUGGCACUAUUUCGUUCCUUUUUAUGGCUGAGUAAUAUUCCAUUGUAUGGGGGUUUGCUUUUUAAAUAAAUUGGCCAUACGUUUAAGUAUCCUAUAAGUCUUCGUGCCCUGAAACUUCUG